rnacentral:rRNA from 1 species
CAUGCAAGUCGACGCACCGCAAGGUGAGUGGCAGACGGGUGAGUAACACGUGGGAACCUACCCUUUGGUACGGAACAUACCAGGGAAACCUGGGAUAAUACCGUAUAAGCCCUUCGGGGGAAAGAUUUAUCGCCAUUGGAUGGGCCCGCGUCGGAUUAGCUAGUUGGUGAGGUAACGGCUCACCAAGGCGACGAUCCGUAGCUGGUCUGAGAGGACGAUCAGCCACACUGGGACUGAGACACGGCCCAGACUCCUACGGGAGGCAGCAGUGGGGAAUAUUGGUCAAUGGGCGAAAGCCUGAACCAGCCAUGCCGCGUGAGUGAUGAAGGCCUUAGGGUUGUAAAGCUCUUUCGGCGGGGAAGAUAAUGACGGUACCCGCAGAAGAAGCCCCGGCUAACUCCGUGCCAGCAGCCGCGGUAAUACGGAGGGGGCUAGCGUUGUUCGGAAUUACUGGGCGUAAAGCGCACGUAGGCGGACAGGGAAGUUGGGGGUGAAAUCCCGGGGCUCAACUCCGGGGCCGCCCCCGAAACUGCAGGUCUAGGGACCGGUAGAGGCCGGUGGAAUUCCCGGUGUAGCGGUGGAAUGCGUAGAGAUCGGGAAGAACACCCGUGGCGAAGGCGGCCGGCUGGGCCGGAUCCGACGCUGA